GCAGGUGGUGCGGAGAAGAAAGUUUAAAGAGGUGCGUGGAUAAGCUCCGUAUAUUUAUGCCCAUAAAAUUGUGGAAGAAAAUACAAUAAAUGUUUGGUAGAGGUUGUCUCUGAGUGGUAAUUAUGUUAUUUUUAUUUUUGUCUUAGAUUUUUCCACAAUGAACAUUUAUUUUCAUAAGAACAAAAAAAGACAAAAGUAAAAAUAACUAAUGCUUAUAUAACAUUUACUCUGCGCCAGGUGUUGCAAAAUGCUUUUGUUGUUGGCUGCAGCGUGCAGCGGCUUGAUGUGGGAUCUCAGUUCGCAGACCAGUAGCAGUGAAGCUCUGAGUCCUGACUGCUGUACCACCAGGGAACUCCCGAUAUAUUAACUGAUUUAAUUCUCACGCAGUCCUAGCAGAAAGUAUCAGUACUCUCAUCAUUUUAUAGAUGAAGAAAGUGAGGCACAGAAAGGUUCCCAAGGUCCCAGAGCCAGUUAAUUACAGAGCCAAGAUGAUAACUGAGACCAUGGCUCCAGAGUCCUUAGGAAAGUAGGUCUCACAGCUUAUCAGGAACUUUUCCUCUCUUUUCUCCUUGUGGAAAAACAGAUUCUUAAAGUUCCCUAAACACCACCUCCUACAUGAAGUCUUCCUGGUCUACCCAUCUUCCUUCAUAGCUGUUAGCUCCUUCCAUGUCAGUACUUCCUUUUUGCAACUGAGUUGCAGUUUGUGCCACACAAGUAGGUUAAGUUGAUUUUGUGUGUGUGUGUGCCAUUUUAACUAUUUUUAAGCAUGCAGUUCAUUGUCAUUAACUACAUUCACAAUGUUGCGCAACCAUCACUGCUGUAUGUUUCCAAAACUUUUUCAUGAGUGCAAGCAGAAACCCUGUUAACUAUUAAGCAAUAACUCCCCAUUCUUCUUUCUCCCCAUUCCUUGGUAACCCCUAACUUACUUUCCGUCUCUAUGGAUUUGCCUGUUCUAGAUAUUUCAUGUCAGCUGAAUUUUACAGUAUAUGUCCUUUUGUGUCUGGCUUAUACUUAGCAUAGUGUUUUCAAAGUUCAUCCAUGUUGUAUGUGUCAGAAAUUCAUUAUGGCUGAUUAAUGUUCUGUUGCAUGGAUAUACCACAUUUUGUUUAUCCAUUCAUCCGUCAAUAAACACUUGGGGAGUUCCCGUUGCAGCUCAGCGAUAAUGAACCCAACUAGUAUCCACGAGGAUCAGGGUUCAAUCCCUGGCCCCGCUCAGUGGGUUAAGGAUCUGGUGUUGCCGAGAGUUUCAGUAUAGGUUGAAGACGUGGCUCAGAGCCUGAGACAUGGGUCAGAUGCUGUGGCUGUGACCUGCAUCUGCAGCUCCAAUUCGACCCUUAGCCUGGGAACUUCCAUAUACUGCAGGUGCAGCCCUAAAAAGGAAAAAAAGACCAACAAGAAAAACCACUUGGGUUGUUUCUACCUUUUGGCUAAUGUAGAUAAUGCUGUAAAGAACACUGGCAUUUAGUGAUCUAUUUUGAGUUCCUCUUUUUUGUUUGUUUGUUUUUGUUUUUUGUCUUUUUGCCUUUUCUAUAGGGCUGUUCCCGCGGCAUAUGGAGGUUCCCAGGCUGGUGGCUACAGCUCCCACUCGAUCCCUAGCUUGGGAACCUCCAUAUGCCGCGGGAGCAGCCCAAGAAAUAGCAAAAAGACAAAAAAAAAAAAAAACCAAAAAAGACCUUGGUGCUGACUGUUGCUGCAGCCUAAAUGCAGCCCUCCUCUCAAUCCUCGACUGGCUCUUUCCCAUCCUCAGGUUUCAGUUCAAUUCUUUUAAUUUUUUAUCAAUUUGUUUCUUUUAUUUAUUUUUUGCUUUUUUGAGGGGCACCUGCAGCAUAUGGAAGUUUCCAGGCAAGGGGUCCAUUCGGAGCUGCAGCUGCUGGCCUACACCACAACAGCAGCAAUGCCAGAUCCUUAACCACUGAAAGAGGCCAGGGAUCGCACCCAAUCCUCAUGGAUAUCAGUUGGGUUCGUAACCCGCUGAGCCACAACGAGAACUCUCAGAUUUCAAUUCAAAUGACACCUCUGGGAGUUCUCUUAUGGUGCAGUGGGUUAGUUAAGGAUCCAGGGUUGUCAGUGCUGCCACUCGGAUCACUGAUGUGGCUUGGAUUCGAUCCCUGGCCCAAGAACUUCCACAUGCCCUGAGCACAGCCAAAACAAAGAAAUGCACUUCUUCAGUGAGUCCUUUCACCACCCUCUAAACCAGUAGCGCUGAUCCUACAGUCACUCUCUAUGUCAUCCCUCUUUUAUUUUCCUUGUAGCACUUAGCACUCUUUGAGAUAGUUUUCUUUACUUGGUGAACUUGUUCAGAGACUGUUUUACUAGAUAUGAGCUCCAGAAGUGUGCACGCCCUGUCUAUCCUGUUUGCUGCUCUGUGCAAACAGUAGUGCUUAGUACACAGUAGGCCUUCAGCAAUUACUAGAUAAAUGAGUGAAUGAAUGCCCGUAUGCAUUUUUUUUUUUUGUCUUUUCUUUUCUUUUUUUUUUGCUAUUUCUUGGGCCGCUCCCGCAGCAUAUGGAGGUUCCCAGGCUAGGGGUUGAAUCGGAGCUGUAGCCACCGGCCUACGCCAAAGCCACAGCAGCUCAGGAUCCGAGCCGCAUCUGCAACCUACACCACAGCUCACGGCAACGCUGGAUUGUUAACCCACUGAGCAAGGGCAGGGACCGAAUCCGAAACCUCAUGGUUCCUAGUCGGAUUCGUUAACCACUGCGCCACGACGGGAACUCCCCCGUAUGCAUUUUUGAAUCAUUUUCGGAUGUCUGUCAAGUCUGUAUGUUAAUGUGUGCUCAACUCAAAUAGGCCUUAUGUCAACUCUGGCUCCCUCCACUCUUCCCUGAGCUCUGGAGGGCAGGAACCAUGUCCAAUCCAUCAUUGCACCUUGGAGCAGUUCUGCAAGUGCACUGCCUACAGUGAAGGGCCAGAAUUUUAAAUUUCCAGUCCACUGCAGACUGGUACUUUUGAAAAAUACAGUAACAAUGUUAGGGAAAUGUCAGCUUGCUAGAAAACUUUUUGAAAGCUUAUUCUCGAUUUCUGUGCUUAUAGUGUCCUGAGCAGGUGAUGAACAGUUUACAGUUUGAGUCACACUGCCUUAGAGGUCCGCACAAUACAUGGUAGGUAGAUGUCAGUGUUUAGAACACUGACUUUUUCUUUCUUCCUCCCUCUCUUUCUUUUCUUCCUUCCCUUCCUUCCUUUCUUCUUUCACCACCCCACAACACAUGGAGUUCCCAAGCCAGGGAUCAGAUCUGAGCUGCAGUUGCAACCCAGGCCACAGCUUCGGCAAUGCAGGCUCCUUUAACCCACUGUGCCAGGGUGAGGAUCAAACCUGCAUUCCAGGGCUACAGAGAUGCUGCCCAUCCUGUUGCACCAUAGCAGGAACUCCUGCCUUGACCUCUUAGAAAACCAAGACAUCAUCUACAUGGGAUUAAAGACAAAGAAGGAGGGGAACAGGGGAACAGACUUCGUUUAUUGCAAAACAUCUAGUAAAUGCCAACUGUUAGAUUGAUGCUGUCCACUGGAAAUUUUUUUUUUUAAGGCCGCACCUGCUGCAUAUGAAGUUCCCAGGCUAGGGGCCCAAUCGGAGCUGUAGCUUCCGGCCUUUGCCACAGCCAUAGCAACUUGGGAUCUGAGCCACAAUGCAACUUACACCACAGCUCACGGCAACGCCAGAUCUUUAAUUCAUGGAGCAAGGCCGGGGAUCGAACCCACAUCCUCAUGGAUACUAGUCCAGUUCAUUACCGCUGAGCCACAACAGAACUCCUGCAACUUUUUGCGGCAAUGUAGAUGUUUUAUAACUGUGCUAUCCAAUAUGAUGGCCACUAGCCACAUGUGUCUGUUGAACACUUGUAAUGUGGCAAGUCAAGGAAUCAAAUUUUCUGUUUUUAUUUUAGUUAAUUUAAAUAGCCACAUAUAACUAUUAGCAAACACUUUUUUUUUUCUUUUUUGUAUGUACCUGCUGCAUGUGAAAGUUCCCAGACCAGGGAUCGAACCCACGUCACAGUUGCAGCCUUUGCCACAGCUAUGGCAAUGCCAGACCCUUAACCUACAAGGGAACUUCCUAAUGGCAAAUACUUUUGAUAGUGCAGUUAUAACAAGUUAUAUCUUUGAAAACAAAAUGCCUCCAUCUUUAGCACCUGAUAUCCAAUCAGUUUCCAAGAUGUGUCCGCUCUUCUGCCUAAAUGUUGGUCCAGUCAGACCUUUCUCCAUCCCCCAACUCAGUGGAUAGUAAUCCUGCUCAGAGUCAUGCAUCCUUGAUUUCUCCCUCUCCUUAAAUACUCCCUCUCCCUAAAUAUUCCCUCUGCAACCUCCAAUUUAUCACCACGUCCUCUCAGUAUUAUCUCUUAAGCACCUUACAGUCCCCUCUAAUUCUCCAUCUCUACCACCACCAUUACCUCUCACCUAGACAGUAGCCCCCAAACCAGCUUCCUUGCAUCAGGUCUUGCUCACCAUUCCCAGCCCCUAGUGCUCUUCGGAAAACCCUUGAGUGGCUCCCCAUUAUUUAUUAGGAUAAAGACAAACCUCUUCCUGAGCCUACAACCCCCUCCAUAGUCCUUGGUCUGGCCCUAUUCCUACUGCUGACUAGGUCAAACCCUUCCUUCCUUCCUUCCUUCUCACUCUCUUUCUCGCUUGCUUUCUUUCUUUUUUUUUUUUUUUUUUUUUUUUCAUUUUUUCAUAGAAGGCUGUCUUGAUCAAUGCAGUUCUUCUUUGAGCAUCAGGCAUAGUUUCUUUCUUUUUUUUUUUAGUUUUUAGGGCCGUACCUGUGGCAUAUGGAGGUUCCCAGGCUAGGGGUCAAAUCGGAGCUAGAGCUGCUGGCCUACAUCUCAGCCACAGCAAAGGCAGAACGGAACCGCAUCUGCAACCUACACCACAACUCACAGCAACGCUGGAUCCUUAACCCACUGAGCAAGGCCAGGGAUCAAACCUGCAACCUCAUGGUUAUUAGUUGGAUUCGUUUCUGCUGCACCAUGAUGGGAACUCCAGGCACAGUUUCAACUUUACUUUCAUUUGUAUUGAGUUGAUUAAUGGUCUUCCACACUCCCCCAACUAGACUACCAGCUCUGUGAGGACCAAGAAUGGGCUGGUUUUGCUCAACAUUUUAUUCCCCUGCCUCACACCUGGUGAUGAUGUUCAAUAAAUAUUUGUUAUAACGGCAGUUUAGGGAGUUCCCUGGUGGCUCAGCAGGUUAAGCCAGCAUUGUCACUGCUGUAGCUCUGGUUACUGCUGUGGUGAAGAUUUGAUCCCUGGUCCAGAAAGCUCUGCAUGCCAAGGGCGUGGCCAAAAAAAAAAAAAAAAAAAAA
rnacentral:lncRNA from 1 species